rnacentral:rRNA from 1 species
UGCAGUCGACGCUUUGUGGUUCAACUGAUUUGAAGAGCUUGCUCAGAUAUGACGAUGGACAUUGCAAAGAGUGGCGAACGGGUGAGUAACACGUGGGAAACCUACCUCUUAGCAGGGGAUAACAUUUGGAAACAGAUGCUAAUACCGUAUAACAAUGACAACCGCAUGGUUGUUAUUUAAAAGAUGGUUCUGCUAUCACUAAGAGAUGGUCCCGCGGUGCAUUAGCUAGUUGGUAAGGUAAUGGCUUACCAAGGCGAUGAUGCAUAGCCGAGUUGAGAGACUGAUCGGCCACAAUGGGACUGAGACACGGCCCAUACUCCUACGGGAGGCAGCAGUAGGGAAUCUUCCACAAUGGGCGAAAGCCUGAUGGAGCAACGCCGCGUGUGUGAUGAAGGGUUUCGGCUCGUAAAACACUGUUGUAAGAGAAGAAUGACAUUGAGAGUAACUGUUCAAUGUGUGACGGUAUCUUACCAGAAAGGAACGGCUAAAUACGUGCCAGCAGCCGGCGGU